CUACGGGAUGCACCAGUGAGGAAUAUUGGUCAAUGGGCGCAAGCCUGAACCAGCCAUCCCGCGUGCAGGAUGACAGCCCUAGAGGUUGUAAACUGCUUUUGUAUAGGAAGAAUAAGAGCUACGUGUAGCUUGAUGACUGUACUAUACGAAUAAGCACCGGCUAACUCCGUGCCAGCAGCCGCGGUAAUACGGAGGGUGCAAGCGUUAUCCGGAUUUAUUAGGUUUAAAGGGUGCGUAGGCGGGAUCUUAAGUCAGUGGUAAAAGGCAUUAGCUUAACUAAUGUAAGCCAUUGAAACUGGGAUUCUUGAGUUCGGUUGAGGUAGGCGGAAUGUGUUGUGUAGCGGUGAAAUGCAUAGAUAUAACACAGAACACCGAUUGCGAAGGCAGCUUACUAAGCCGUUACUGACGCUGAUGCACGAAAGCGUGGGUAUCAAACAGGAUUAGAUACCCUAGUAGUC
rnacentral:rRNA from 1 species